rnacentral:rRNA from 1 species
UACGAAGGGGGCUAGCGUUGCUCGGAAUCACUGGGCGUAAAGGGUGCGUAGGCGGAUUUCUAAGUCAGGGGUGAAAGCCUGAGGCUCAACCUCAGAACUGCCUUUGAUACUGGAAGUCUUGAGACCGGAAGAGGUAAGUGGAACUGCGAGUGUAGAGGUGAAAUUCGUAGAUAUUCGCAAGAACACCAGUGGCGAAGGCGGCUCACUGGCCCGAUACUGACGGCUGAGGCACGAAAAGCGUGG